rnacentral:lncRNA from 1 species
UAGAUUAUAAUUGAUUGUUCUUAUGUCGAGCUUGCGACAUUAAACAAAGCGCUUAGUGGGAGACAACCCCCCAAUAUUUAUAUUUUAUAUUUUUUUUUAUUUCUUCCUUAAUUAUUCUUUUAACUUUUAUUUAGUAUUCAUUCUUAUUUUUAUCUAUUAAAAACUUUUCUCUUCUUCUUUCGGCAUUUGGCCAAAUCCUG